rnacentral:lncRNA from 1 species
UAAUACCAGCAAUGAAGAGAAGAUUUUAAAAGUUUUUGGGGGCCGGGCGCGGUGGCUCACGCCUGUAAUCCCAGCACUUUGGGAGGCCGAGGCGGGUGGAUCACGAGUUCAGGAGAUCGAGACCAUCCUGGCUAACACAGUGAAACGCCGUCUCUACUAAAAAUACAAAAAAUUAGCUGGGUGUGGGGGCGGGCGCCUGUAGUCCCAGCUACUCGGAAGGCCGAGGCAGGAGAAUGGCAUGAACCCGGGAAGCGGAGCUUGCAGUGAGCCGAGAUUGCGCCACUGCACUCCAGCCUCGGCGACAAAGCAAGACUCCGUCUCAAAAAAAAAAGUUUUGGGGAAAAGACAUUGGACACACCCACAUCAACGCUGUAAACCAGGAUCUAAUGGAUAAAUAUCUUUAAAAUUCUGAGGGAAGAGGAUUUCCAAUGGUUGAAUAGAAUUCUAUAUACGGUUAAACCAUCAGUCAGAAGUGUGGGUAUAUAAAGACAUCUUUACAUAAGCAUAGUGUCAAAAAAUUUACCUUUGUCAUAUCUAUUUCUGUAUAACAAGUCACAUCAAAUUUUGGUUGUUUAAAAAGUGGACAUCUAUUAUCUCCUAUUUUCUAUGAGAGGGAAAUUUGAGAGUGGCUUAGCUGGCAGGGGCUUCGCUGGGUGGUUUGGGCUAAGGAUUUGUCAUGACGGAGUGUAUUAGUCUGUUUUCACACUGCUGAUAAAGACAUACCCGAGACUGGGUGAUUUAUAAAGAAAAAGAGGUUUAAUGGACUUACAGUUCCAUGUGGCUGGGGAAGCCUCACAAUCACGGCCGAAGGUGAAAGGCACGUCUUACGUGACAGCAGGCAAGAGAGAAUAAAAGCCAAGUGAAAGGGGAAACCCCUUAUAAAACCAUCAGAUCUCGUGAGACUUAUUCACUACCAUGAGAACAGUAUGGGGAAAACCUCCCCCAUGAUUCAAUUAUCUCCCACCGGGUCCCUCCCACAACACGUGGAAAUUACGGGAGCUACAAUUCAAGAUGAGAUUUGGAUGGGGACACAGCCAAACCAUAUCAGGGAGUAAUUAAGGAAUCGGCCAAAGCUGCAGUCAUCUGAGGCUUGACUGAGGCUGAAGAAUCCACCUCUAAGCUCAUUCCUGUGGUUGUUGGCUGGAGGUUCCACCUUCCCAUCCUAUAGGACUGCUCAAGACAGGGCUCACGACCUUUCCUCAAAAGGAGACGGGGGAAGAGAGGAGAGGGGAGGUGAGAGGAAGGGAAGAGAGGGGAGGGAGGAGAGAGGAGGAGAGGUGGAGACGGGUGAGAGCCUCCAAGAUAAAAGGCACAAUGCUUUCCAUAUCCUAAUCUCUGAAGUGACAUACCAUCAUCCAUCAUAUGUAUUAGUCAUACAGAUCAAUCCUGGUACAAUGUGAGAGGGGCCGUGCAGGGUGUAAAUACCAGGAGAUGGGGUUUAUUAGGGCUCAUCUUGGAGGCUGGCUACCACAUACCCUUUCUCAAGAAACUCCUGGAGGUGAUGCUCCACCAAAACGAAGAAGUAAGCCAGACAGAGCAAGAGAGAGCAAACAGAAGACGAACAUUGGGAAGCAAGAAAGAAAUCCUCAGGGUAAUGGUAAAGAGAAGUCCUGAGAUGAGAGCUGCGCAGCAGACUUCAAGAACAACUGGUCUAGAUUGAGCAGAAGGAUAAUGAUCUCCAGGAAGAAUGCCUCUAAGCCAUAAAUGAAAUCAAUAUGUUGAAUAAAGUUAGAGAAGAUUUUUGACUGCAGAAUUUAGGAAUGAAUCAUUAAUAGGUACACAAAAAAGGAAGUAAAAAAAAUCUGGGGGGCUGGCCAUGGUGGCUCACGCCUGUAGUCACAGUAUUUUGGGAGGCCAAGGGGGGCAGAUCAUUUGAGGUCAAGAGUUACAGACCACUAUUCUCGUGAGAGUGACUUCUCAUGAAAUCUUAUCUUGUGGUUUUAUACGUGUCUGGCAUUUCCCCUGCUGAACCUCAUUCUCUCUCCUGCCACCCUGUAAAGAGGUGCCUUCCGCCAUGAUUGUAAGUUUCAUGAGGCCUCCCCAGCCAUGCGGAACUGAGUCAAUCAAACCUAUUUUCUUUAUAAAUUACCCAGUCUCGGGUAUUUCUUCAUAGCAGUGUGAGAAUGAACUAACACAGUAACUAUAUUGGGAGGAAAGGAAAUAGGGAAGUUCAUCACAUAGGUGGUGAGUUGGGGCUCUUUCAUAGGAAGCCAAUAGAGUCCAAAACAGAAAAAUCAAGAAAUAGAAGUAUAAGUAUGCCAUUUAGAAAACAUAGAGGUUAAAUUCAGUAACAGAAGAAACAAAAAAAAGAAUUGAAAGUUUUUGUACUUAGGGAAAGUGUCAGAAGUGGAGAAGGAUAGAGCAGGAGUCUGCUGGGUGUUUGUUUGUUUGUUUGAGACAGAGUCUCACUCUGUCACCAGGCUGGAGUGCAGUGGCGCGAUCUCGGCUCACUGCAACCUCUGCCUCCCGGUUGAAGCGAUUCUCCUGCCUCAGCCUCCCAAAUGGCUGG